UACAGAGACUGCGAGCGUUAUUCGGAUUCACUGGGCGUAAAGGGUGCGCAGGCGGCUCCUUAAGUCAGAUGUGAAAGCCCCGGGCUUAACCUGGGAACUGCGUUUGAAACUGGGGAGCUGGAGUGUAGAAGAGGGGGGUGGAAUUCCAGGUGUAGCAGUGAAAUGCGUAGAUAUCUGGAGGAACACCGAUGGCGAAGGCAGCCCCCUGGGCUAACACUGACGCUCAUGCACGAAAGCGUGGGGAGCAAACAGG
rnacentral:rRNA from 1 species